AUCAGCCUUGCGGAGAGGCGUGUGGUGGCCAAGUGGCCUGGGGCAAGCAGCUGUGCCUCUGAGCCUCGGUUUCCCCACGGUUGCUAAAGGGCCAACAGCACCCUCUUCAGAGGGCUCUUGUGAAGUUCUGAGAGUGCGUUGAAACACUUGGCAGGAUGAGACCUCAGACUUUCCCACUGUGACCUUGAGCAGAUUCCCUGUCUUCUCCAAGCCUGGGUCUCCUCAUUGAACAAGAAAUCACCACCUCCCCCUUCUAAAUGGGGACUUAUGAGGUACCAACCAGAGGACACCAGCCAGAGGACCUGCUCCCAGGCCUGCAGAAGGGCGGUUGGACAGGGAGGGGGUACAGGACAGGCUGUGAGGCCUGCCAGCCUGAGAGGGAUAGAAAGGAAGAGACCCUCUCAUCAAGGAGAUGAGCGUGGCCAGAGAUGCCGGGUGACAACAUUCAGGGUUACUGCUGUCCGACUGGCUAGAAUCCAUUGCCCUUCAUUCCUACACUCAGCCCUGCUCCGGGCACAGAGCAUCCUCCCAGCCACCCUCAUAAGUGAGAGCUAUUGUUAUCCUUGUUUCACGGAUGACAAAAUUGACUCCCAAAG
ensembl:lncRNA